rnacentral:lncRNA from 1 species
CGGCGAAGAUUAUUUCUUUUGCAUGUGUUGAACUAAAUAAUAAAUUAAUACUUGUGAGAAAUGUCGUAGUUUAUAAGGAACAAUUCUCGUUUGAAUAGUUUUACAUUGUCAUUUCGGGGCCUUUUAUAGCUGACUAUGCGAUAUGGGCUUUGCUCAUUAUUGAAAGCCGUACGGUGACCUAUAGUUGUUAAUUUCUGUGUCAUUUUGGUCUCUUGUGGAGAGUUGUCUCAUUGGCAAUCAUACCAC